GACGACACACAAACGACCCACAAAGAGAGUCAGUCACGAGACUGAAAACGUAACAAGCGAAGCAAAUUCUAAGAGAGCGAGGAUAGAGGUUAGGAAAAAAAAGAUACCUGAGAGAGAGAGAGGGGAAGGGGCAAGAGAGAAGGGAGGAAGGAGCGGCGGUGAGAAGAAAGAAAUGAACAGAGGGUCAAAGAGAGAUGGUUUUGUUUUGUGAGUUUGGUAACCAAACAAAGGAAAAAAGAGUACCGUUUUCCCUGUAGGCCCUUGACCGCGUUGAUCGCCGCUCAUCUUGCGAGGAGCAAAAAAAAAACCUUAAUGGAGCAAAAGCAUGUCUUGUGAGUAAAGGUAAAGUGUGAACUGGGAUGAUGCAGAAACCCAAGACAAAUUGGCGGGCCAGCUUUUGUCCUUCUAACACACCACGAGACAAUCAUUCAAACUAACCCAACAAAUAAAAUAAAAUUAUUCAUCUAAGAAACAAAUCUUUUUUUCUUCUAAGAAACAAAUCUAUCUAUGGAGACAAUACACACAAAGAAACAAAAUAUCUCUAGAGAUUCCUUUAUCUUUUCCUCUAUGGCUCUACCUUACUCAAAUUGGUGCAGAUUCUCUUAGUCUUUGUAGCAACUAGUCAUCGCUAUAGAUGGAGAUAAAUUUUUAGAUUUUGUAUGUUAAAUAUCAUGUUUUCCUUUUAAAAUUAGUAUUUGUUAUCGACAUUUACUUGAACAAUAGUUUUAGCAUUUUGCAUGUAUUUGUAUACAAUAUAGAACGUGCAUGUUGUUGAAGCAAAUGGAAAUCUCCUCAACAUUGCGAAAUGUGUGAUGAUUACCAAACCCAAACGAGGCAGUGUUUAAGAAAAUAGUUUAUAGACAAUACUUUUUCAGGAUUUUUAACAGGGAAAAAUUAGGAAAAUUUGGUUUUGCAUCUGUAUACGUUACUCGUGUAGUAAGUAAUAAAACAAUAAAUGCAUGGGUGAACUUAGUUAAGAAAAUUGAUUUCUCAACAUUAUGAGGAGCCGAGCCGCCGGCUUGAGAAGUAGUAGCCACGUGUUAUGCUGACGUGCCGUGCUCUAUAUGGCUGUGUCUCAUGCAUUUGACGUGAGUCGACCAAUCAGAAUUCCCUGACAGCUAAUCUUUCAGCUCUCAUAUUGACUCGAUCUUUUGUGCCUAAUUUCCGCGUAUAAUUCGUAUAUUUUUACACGGCGGGAUCAUAAAGCAUCCCUCAAUACAUUUUUCAACGAUAACAAUAUAGAGAACAAUGGGUCAGAUGUAAAUGGCCGAACAGCCCUCAACUUAUCCGUCGGCAGAACUGCGUUGUGGGUUUGUUUCCUUUUAAGAUUUUGAAAUGUCAAACUAAGAAUAAGAAGAAGAAGAAAAUAGAGAAUCUGUGAGAGUGAGAGAGGGAGUUUAUACGUCUCACCCCACGGGGGCAUUGUUAGCCACUUUUGAAUCUUCCAAACCAACUAAGACGUUUCAGUCAGUCUCAAUUUUUGUAUGGACCGUACCGAUAAUUUUAAAUAACUUAAAAGAAUGUAUAUAAUAUAUA